GCUGUAGCUCAGUGACAUAGCAUCUGCUUUGCAUGCAGAAUGUCCCAGGUUCAAGCCCCAGCAUCUGCA